ensembl:snRNA U6 U6 spliceosomal RNA
CUGCUCACUUCAGUAGCAUAUAUACUAAAAUUGGAAUGACACAGAAAAGAUUAGGAUGGACCCUGCACAAGAAUGACACACAAAUUUGUGAAGCGUUCCAUAGUUUU